AGGGGAGGCGGCGCGGAGGCCGGGCCGCGUCCCGCUAGGGGGCGCCGCAGGCGGAGGCCGGGCGCUGUGCGGUGCUGCCGGGACGCCGGGGCCUGGGCGGGAGGCGAGCGGGGAGGCCGCGGCCAUGGAGAUCGGUACCGAGAUCAGCCGCAAGAUCCGGGGGGCUAUAAAAGGAAAGUUGCAGGAGCUGGGGGCUUAUGUUGAUGAAGAACUCCCCGAUUAUAUUAUGGUUAUGGUGGCCAAUAAGAAGAGCCAGGAGCAGAUGACAGAGGACCUUUCCCUUUUCCUUGGAAACAAUACUGUCAGGUUUACUGUAUGGCUCCAUGGUGUUUUGGAUAAGCUGCGGUCUGUGACUACUGAACCAACAAGCGUAAAAUCUUCAGAAUCUAACAUCUUUGAGAGCAACCUUCCUUCCGGCAAAAGCAGUUCAUGUGCGAGUGAUGAGAGGAGGCGUGAGGAUGUCUUGCCACCUCUUGCAGUUUCCAGCACUCGGACAGAAAGAAAUGACUCCAGAGUUUCCACCAGUUCACAGGAACAAAGAAACGCUGCUUCACGGCAGUCUUCUGAAGAUGGUUCUGCAUCCCGCUUAAUGUCUACAGUCAAGCCUUUGAGGGAACUGUCACCUUCUGAAGCUGUAAUUGACAUUAAACCUGAACCAGAUGAUCUAAUUGAUGAAGACCUAAACUUUGUGCAGGAGAACCCUUUGUCGCGGAAAAAACCUACUGUAACUGUAACUUACGGUUCUUCUCGUCCUACUGCUGAAAUCUACCGGCCACCGGGCAGCAGGAGUGCAGAUGGCAGUGUGCACGUGCACAGAUUGUCCCAGCAGGGCACCUUGCAGGGGAGCCGGCAGUUAGACACACAAAGCUGCAGGUCCUUGGAAACAGUCCAGCUGUGCAAUCCAGAAGCAUUUGGCAGCUUAGCAGAGAGUUACAGGCCCACCUCCAAACUCAGUGCUGAUAAAGUAGGCAGCGAGGAAGAAAGCUCCAGGAAGAGAAGGUUGCCUGUUGUUAGCUCAGUAGUUAAAGUGAAAAAAUUCUGUAAUGAUGGUGAAGAGGAGGAGGAGGAAGAAGAAUAUGGAUCGCGAACAGGAAGCAUCUCCAGCAGUGUGUCUGUACCUGCAAAGCCGGAAAGAAGACCUUCACUUCCACCUUCCAAACAAGCCAAUAAGAACUUAAUACUGAAAGCAAUCUCUGAAGCACAGGAAUCGGUUACAAAAACAACUAAUUAUUCCACAGUUCCACAGAAACAAACUGUUCCAGUUGCACCAAGAGCUCGAAUUAGCCCAGAAGAAUCUCAGUUGGAAGUAAUCCAUGUGCAAAGCAGGAUCCCUACUCUGAGUUCUCAGCUUCAAGUAGAAGAGCCAAAGGAGCAGACAGCAGAAGGCAUACAAGGAGCUGAACAAAAGGAGCUCUCUUCUCGGCUUCAGGUUGAUCCUGUGAUUGAGGAUACUUUGCAAGUAACUCCAGACUACUAUGAUGCAGAAUCUAUGGUCCAUACAGACACUAGGUCAUUUAUCCUGAAGAAGCCCAAAUUAUCUGAGGAAAUAGUGCCACAGAAUCAGCAACUGGGAAAGAGGGCUACCGAGGCAAUACGAGUACUCUCAGGCCGUCUAAUACAGACACGAGACCAGCUUGCACAGCCAGAGAAACCUGCUAGUCCCAAGUUCAUCGUGACACUGGAUGGUGUGCCCAGUCCACCAGGAUACCUUUCAGAUCAAGAAGAAGAAGAGAUGUGCAUAUCUGAAGGAUUAAAGCCAGUUACCCAAAAUAUUUGUGCAGGCAAAGGAUUAAAAGGCCUUCGAGCACAGCAGAUGCAGCUUGUAACCAGGCAGCUAGAGAGCUCUGAUGUGGAAAUGGAACAAUUGAACAUUCUGCAAAAACAGGAGAAGGUGCUUGAGCGCUGCAAGUACUGGCCUGCUUGUAAAAAUGGAGAUGAGUGUGUGUACCAUCACCCCACGCUACCUUGCAAAGUUUUUCCUAACUGCAAGUUUGCUGAUAAAUGCUUGUUCAUCCAUCCAAAUUGUAAAUAUGAUGCAAAGUGCACCAAGCCAGACUGCCCUUACACUCAUGCCAGUCGAAGGAACCCCCUCCCGCCUCCCAAACCGGCACCACUACCCACACCGUCUCUAUCCUCCAGUAGUCCGCUGUGCAAGUUUUUUCCUGCCUGUAAGAAAAUGGAAUGCCCAUUUUACCACCCAAAACAUUGUAGGUUUAAUACCCAGUGCACAAGACCAGACUGUACUUUCUACCAUCCAACAAUUACUGUACCUCCACGCCAUGCCUUGAAAUGGACUCGAACCCAAACCACUGAAUGAUGAGGAUACAACUGGGGACUGAACUUUGCUUCUUUCAGCCAGUAGCAGAAAGGACAAUUACCUGCCAGGGGCACAGGAAGUAAGAAAAACUCAUGCAUUUUGAACUUUUAAUAUACAUUGUUUUCAUAAAACAAAGUUGAUUGCAUACUUGAAAUGUCUCUAAUUUUCCAAGUUUGUAAGUUUGAGCAGUUUUACAUUUUUUUUACACUGUAAGAUGUCUGUGUAAGAAUAGAUUUACUUUAAAUUCCAUUAAAAACUUUCAAAGCACAGCCUGUGUUCUAUUUGAGUAAUGUUUCUCAUUUAAGAUUAGGUGUGUUGAAGUUGUUAGGAAGUUUAUGCCUGUAUUCAGGUCAUACUAGAAUUUUUAUUUUUUAAGCAGCUGUGUAGUAUGGUGUAUACAGCUGUCCUGGCAAACACUGAUUGAACUCCUUAGCUGUCUUUUCCUUGUGAGUGAGUGAUGGGGUACCACUGCCAUGUAAUGGUCAUCAUACCUCUGCUACUUUCUUAAACAGGGGCAAGCACGCACAGAAAUGUUUCAUACGUGAGAACAAUUAAACAGUGAUGGUGUGCUCUGUUCAGAAACCCUAGGAAAUUAAAUACCACUUCACUUGAAAGUAAAUGGUUUCAGGUAUCUUCAUUUAUAAUUGGAAGACAAAGUCUCUCUCUGAAUCUGUUGCUGAAUACUUUUUUUCUUUCCAACACUUCUUCCUACUGGACACACUUUGUAAAUAACUCAUUUGAAGAAGCUCCUGUGAAAAUUCCCAGUGGGUUACCAUAUGUAUAUUAAUGGCUAUUUGUAAUAAUGGAAAAUGUUGAGCAAGUUUUCCAAUGCCUUCAUUAGCUGCCCUUGCAGAAAUAGCUGCCACCAUGAAGCUAUUUUUCCUUUUCAGUGUGAGAUGAGAAGACAAUUUGUAAGGGUAGCAGUGAACUGCUGCUACCUCCAUUGCUGAAUUUCAACAGCUUUGAUGUCUUAUAACCUACUGUACAAUGUUUAGCAUAAGGCAAGCUGCUGAUUUUUCUCUGAAAAAAAAAA